rnacentral:rRNA from 1 species
ACCUGGUUGAUCCUGCCAGUAGUCAUACGCUUGUCUCAAAGAUUAAGCCAUGGAUGUCUAAGUAUAAAGGUUACAAAAAAAAUGAAACUGGGAAUGGGUCAUUGAAACAGUUAUAGUUUAUUAGAUAUUCAGAAAAUUAUUCUAUAAAUGGAUAACCGUAGUAAUUCUAGAGCUAAUACAUGCGUUACGGGGGACUUUACGGAACCUCAGUAUUUAUUAGAUUAUUUAAACCAAUAUUCCGCAAGGUCUAUUUGUUGAUUCAUGAUAACUUAUCGAAUCGCUGGGUUGUACCCGCGAUAAAUCGUUCAAGUUUCUGCCCCAUCAGCUUGAUGGUAGUGUAUUGGACAACCAUGGCUUUCACGGGUAACGGGGGAUUAGGGUUCGAUUCCGGAGAGGGAGCCUGAUAAACGGCUACCACUUCUACGGAAGGCAGCAGGCGCGUAAAUUACCCAAUCCUGAUUCAGGGAGGUAGUGACAAGAAAUAAUGAACUGGGAUUUAUCCUGGAUUUAUAAUGGGCGUGACUUACAAACCUUUUUGGCGAGGAACAAUUGGAGGGCAAGUCUGGUGCCAGCAGCCGCGGUAAUUCCAGCUCCAAUAGCGUAUAUUUAAGUUGUUGCAGUUAGAAAAGGCUCGUAGUUGGAUUUCUGGAGGUGGGCGACAGGCGCGUGGCUAGGCUACGCCCAGUCUACUCCUUCAUCCUUCUGUUAACGUUGCUCGGCAUUGAGUUGUCGACUUCGGGCUCAGAUACUUUACCAUUUUAUUUAUGAGCAAAUUAGAGUGUUUCAGGCAGGCGUGCGCCGGAAUACAUUAGCAUGGAAUAAUCGAACAGGACCGUGUUCCUUUUGUUGGUUUCAAGGGCAUGGUAAUGAUUAAUAGGGACAUUGUUUAUCUAAAGGGGUGGCAUUAGUAUUUCAAAUUCAGAGGUGAAAUUCUUUGACAUAUGAAAGACUAACUUAUGCGAAAGCAUUUGCCAAGAAUGUUUUCAUUAAUCAAGAACGAAAGUUAGGGGAUCAAAGACGAUCAGAUACCGUCCUAGUCUUAACCAUAAACUAUCCCGACUAGGGAUCGGAGGCGUCCCCAUUCCCCCUUCGCCCCCUUAGGAGAAAUCAAAGUCUUUGGGUUCCGGGGGGAGUAUGGUCGCAAGGCUGAAACUUAAA